GGUGAGGUGGCCUAAGGGUUAAGGCGCCUGGUACAGAUUCCCCCACCUGGCAAUUUUCGGGAAUCACCAGGAGGUUCCCGGUUCGACUCUGGGCCUCACCA